CCCUUAGAUGUUCUGGGCUGCACACGUGCUACACUGGCAGGUUCAGCGAGCUUCAUGCCCUGAUCUGAAAGGAAUGGGAAAUCUUUUCAAAACCUGCCGUGCUUGGGAUAGAUGUUUGCAAUUAUUCAUCUUCAACGAGGAUUGCCUUGUAAGCGCACGUCAUCAGCGUGCAUUGAAUACGACCCUGUAUUCUGUACACACCGCCCGUCGCUCCUACCGAUUGAAGUUUUCGGUGAGUUGACAGGAGGAUUUUUUUGAAACUGGUCCGCCAGUGGAUUUUAGAUCCAAAUGCCAACGAAUCGAUGGCUUUAGAGGAAGGAGAAGUCGUAACA
rnacentral:rRNA from 1 species